GACGAACGCUGGCGGCGUGCUUAACACAUGCAAGUCGAACGGAAAGGCCCUGCUUUUGUGGGGUGCUCGAAUGGCGAACGGGUGAGUAACACGUGAGUAACCUGCCCUUGACUUUGGGAUAACUUCAGGAAACUGGGGCUAAUACCGGAUAGGAGCUCCUGCUGCAUGGUGGGGGUUGGAAAGUUUCGGCGGUUGGGGAUGGACUCGCGGCUUAUCAGCUUGUUGGUGGGGUAGUGGCUUACCAAGGCUUUGACGGGUAGCCGGCCUGAGAGGGUGACCGGCCACAUUGGGACUGGAAUACGGCCCAGACUCCUACGGGAGGCAGCAGUGGGGAAUAUUGCACAAUGGGCGGAAGCCUGAUGCAGCAACGCCGCGUGCGGGAUGACGGCCUUCGGGUUGUAAACCGCUUUCGCCUGUGACGAAGCGUGAGUGACGGUAAUGGGUAAAGAAGCACCGGCUAACUACGUG
rnacentral:rRNA from 1 species